ACACGAGCAACACGAGCGGGGCAGGCCUGCAAAAGUGGUUUUGCCCAUGAAAGGAGAACUUAGCUUAACACUAGAAGUCCCAGCAUUUUUCUGUCUACCUAGAAGACCCACAUAGGGGCCAUUUGGCCCGACCGCUUUUCCCGAACACACUAAUCACUCAUUUUGUUAUGGUAAUGAGGCUGUUAGUGGCAGUGUGUGGGGUGAGGGUUCACACCUUACUUCUGUGUGAAUGUGAGAAUGAGGAAUAAAAACACAUUCUAUUCUAAAAUGUGAACAUGUAAAUGUCCGAUGUGACCAUAACGACUCAUGUGACUCCAACCAGACAAUUGUUUGAUGGAUAAAUACCUCAGUGCACAUGGACUAUUGCUUCAGUUCCCUCAAGAAUUUUGUGGUGAAAGAAGCUCCUCUCCAAGGAACGAAGAUGCAGAGAAUCAACACUCAACAGGCAUUGGAAAUGAUCCUGGAUGGAGCAAACCCUUGCGACUCGGAUGGAGAAGACAUCAACCUUCAGGUGGAUUCAGACUCUGAGCUGUCUCAGUCGUCUUCAGAUGAGGAGACUGUUCCCCAACCAAAAAAGAGAGCUCGGCUGGGGACUGAUGUGACAGAGACUGCGAAAGACGGCACAGUAUGGCAUGAAGAACAGGUGGGAACGGGUCCACAUUUCACCCCGCCAUCGCCAUACAACGCAGAUGGAGAGCCAACAGCUGAGGCCAGGAGGUCAAUCACCAGUCGUCUUCAGAGCUUCCUGUGUUUCAUCACUCUGGACAUGCUUGGUAUCAUUCGAGACUGUACAGUUCAACAUGCAAAGGAAACGGAUGUGGAUUGGUUCAUGGGCCUCUCUGAACUAAUGGCAUUUAUUUCCAUCACCAUCAUGCGGGGAAUCUUCAGGGUGCCAUCACUGCGUGACUGCUGGUCGAAAAACCUGGGAAGCCAACAUAUCAUCGAAACCAUGUCCCGAGGGCGUUUCCAAAACAUCAUGCAUCACCUGCGCUUUGAUGACAGAGACACCCGCAGCGAGCGAGCACAGACCGAUAAGUUUGCUGCCAUUUCGAACAUAUGGGGAUUGUUUGUCACCAACUGCAUCACAUCCUACAUCCCUGGUCGACACAUCACCAUCGACGCACAACUUUUCCCGUCCAAGACUCGCUGCUGUUUCCUACAGUACAGUAAACCAGACAAGUUUGGGAUCAAGUUUUGGGUGGCGUGUGACUUGAAAACCAAAUACGUCUGCAAUAUCCUCCCAUGUCUUGGCAAGGACCCCACUCGGCCUCGUGGGGAGAGAGUGUCUGAGAGUGUAGUCAUGAGGCUGAUGGAACCAUUCCUGGACAAGGGCAGAAAUGUGACCACGGACAAUUUCUUUACAUCACUGUCACUUGCAAAACAACUACUUAGCCGGAAU
rnacentral:lncRNA from 1 species